rnacentral:rRNA from 1 species
GACGAACGCUGGCGGCGUGCCUAAUACAUGCAAGUAGAACGCUGAAGAGAGGAGCUUGCUCUUCUUGGAUGAGUUGCGAACGGGUGAGUAACGCGUAGGUAACCUGCCUUGUAGCGGGGGAUAACUAUUGGAAACGAUAGCUAAUACCGCAUAACAAUGGAUGACACAUGUCAUUUAUUUGAAAGGGGCAAUUGCUCCACUACAAGAUGGACCUGCGUUGUAUUAGCUAGUAGGUGAGGUAACGGCUCACCUAGGCGACGAUACAUAGCCGACCUGAGAGGGUGAUCGGCCACACUGGGACUGAGACACGGCCCAGACUCCUACGGGAGGCAGCAGUAGGGAAUCUUCGGCAAUGGGGGCAACCCUGACCGAGCAACGCCGCGUGAGUGAAGAAGGUUUUCGGAUCGUAAAGCUCUGUUGUAAGUCAAGAACGAGUGUGAGAGUGGAAAGUUCACAC